GUUUAAUUUCAAAUAACACCAUUUUAUUAUAGAAUGUUGUAUGGAACGCCGUUUGGGUUUUUGAGUCAAAAGAACAUUCACUCAUAAUCAGAAAAAAUAACUAUUGUAACACUAUGUACAUAUUGUUGUACAGUUCAACGGUGAGGUAUAGGCCAUUUCUAUCUACAGUAUGUAUUAAUUAAUGAACAUCUAUUUACAUUCGGAUGGGUUAUAGGCGGAAAGACUAACUCUGGUGUGAAAUAACACCUUCAAUUCAAUUCGUUUUUUUUUUUCAAGUUCAAAUCCCCGAGCUGACAAGGUCGUUCUGCCCCUGAACAGCAGGGGUUAACCCACUGUUGGGGUUAACCCACUGUUCCUAGGCCAUCAUUGAAAAUAAGAAUUUGUUCUUAACUGAUUUGCCUAGUUAAAUAAAGUUAAAAUAAAAUUAAAAUAAAAAAGCAAUUAUGGUCAUUCCAACUGCCCUUAACUAAGUGUCAUUGGUAGACGGAAAGGGUGAAAGAGAGAGGCAAUCACAUGUACUUACAAGGAUGGCCAGUCUCACAGGAGGGUGAUUUUUAACUGAGGAGAAGGUGGAGUGGAGUGAAGUGCUUGAUUGCCAAAAUCAACAUAACUCUUCUUUUGGCAAUUGGCAUGGGAUUGUCAAGAAUGUGGACAGCUGGUCAGUACCCUGUCUAGUCUGACAGGAGUUUGAGAGGGUG
ensembl:lncRNA